GAUUGAUUGAUCGCCGUCGGAAGGACCUAUACAGUUCGAGUGACCGGACUUGUUACACACUAACGGUGUUUUAUCUGCUGGUGUCCUGGCGGAACGGCUGGAGGUUUAACAGAUUUUACAUUUUAUUUUGGGAACAUUGGAGUUACCCUGUCUUAGAGGAGCUGCAGGACUAUCAAUAUAGACCUUGUUUUAUCAUAAUACUACUCAUUUGGACGACUUAUAAAGUAACAGCUUGUACUAUAAAAAAAAGUGACCCUGAAGUGAAUAUCACAGAAACCUUGUCUAUACAUCCGAAAUGAGGAGUAAAAGAGUUCCUCAGAAUGAAUAAAUGAAGUAUUUUACACAAUCCCAG